GUGAGGGAUCUUGCGCAAUGGGGGCAACCCUGACGCAGCGACGUCGCGUGGGCGAAGACGGCCUUCGGGUUGUAAAGCCCUUUUCUAGGUGACGAGCAAGGACGGUAGCCUAGGAAUAAGUCUCGGCUAACUACGUGCCAGCAGCCGCGGUAAAACGUAGGAGGCGAGCGUUAUCCGGAGUAACUGGGCGUAAAGGGCGCGUAGGCGGUUGGGUAAGUGAUAGGUCAAAGACCCGUGCUCAACGCGGGGAAGGCAAAUCAGACUGCUCGGCUAGAGACAGCUAGAGGGACGCGGAAUUCGGGGUGUAGCGGUGAAAUGUGUAGAGAUCCCGAGGAACACCAGCGGUGAAGACGGCGUCCUGGGGCUGGGCUGACGCUGAAGCGCGAAGGCGUGGGGAGCGAACGGGAUUAGAUACCCCGGUAGUCC
rnacentral:rRNA from 1 species